UAUUGGGAGAAGUAGCCAUAUAAUUUGAUUGCUCCAAGUUUCAAGCGAUAGGUAUCAGGCUAUGAGCUGCCUCCCUCUUUGCUUCCAUGCUAAAGAUGGAGAUUGAGCUGGCCAGAAAGAUUUCAGCACUCUCAAAAUCACAGGGCCAAACCGUCACUUGCAGGGGGCCAUGUUCUAAUCUCAAUCUGGGCAUGCGAUUACCAUCUGAUGUCAUUGGGACUUGCGUACAUACACCAAGGGAAGUCGAUACCUCUUGAAGUGGAACUUGCAUGACAAAACCGGGACAAUAAGAAUCAGGCACAAUGUACCUUCAUGUAAGUGAAAGCACCUUAACAAAGAGCCUUUAGAAUCUUCAAGGAUUCCAAGAAGUGCAUUGCAUAAUAAGGAAGAAAAAAGUUAGUUACCUGUAUCUGAACCGUUUUCUAUGCUGACCCUUGACUUUGUUGUUUUAGUCGCAAAUUCCUUCAUUAUAUGGGUAGCUGCCCACUAUAUUUAGGUAGCCCAGCACUUUCCAUUUUAAGAGUUGCUUGUGCCCUUUUUUCAGAAGCGCUAACAUUUUCACUGAUUGCAAUGGGUCUCUGGAAUUCAGCAAGGGGAAAGCCCGCAGGCUAAAGAAAUGCCUUUUAUUUGUCUCAUGAAAUUCCAUUCAGGUUCAGUUGAGUUAUAAACUAUUUUUAAAAAAUCACCCUCUCCCUUCUCACUUGUAUUCCUCAGGAAAAUUCUGGCAGCCUGCCAAAAUUAUAAUUGAACACACAAACAUUCUAAAGAUUUAGGUCCAUGCUACCCAUCGUUUAAAGCAGCAGCAUCACCACCACCACAUGCUGUACUAGGAAUGCCUGGGAGCUGCUAGCGCAGCUGUAGUAGCAGGACGGAGGGAAUGGGGAGAGAGCUGAGUCAAGCCAGGCUGGGCUCCACUGAUCCAGCACAGGGCCAAGACAUCACAUUUCCCAUCCCCAGGGCAUGACCUGGGGGCAAGAGUCCCCCAACCUCCCCAUAGGGGAAAAGAGACAGCCAGAUUGGACUCCCCAUGUUAUCUCCUCUAGCCAUCCCAUUCUCCACUCUGGAGGUACCACUGUGGUGGGAGGAAGGAAUGAUUGUUGGGCUGGGUCAGACUCUCCCCCAUCACCGCUGGACCCAGAAUAUGGAGCCAGCCAACCACCUCACCCCUCCUCCUGCUGCCACCUACUACAAUCAGUCCUGUAACGCAAGUGGCCAAAGUCUGCACUGCAGUGCUGAUGGUCACGGUUCACACCAGAUGAUGGUACAUGUUGGUUGAAUUGUACAUAAUAUAAUUUUAUUUUUACCUUUUUCCUCUAACAAAAACACCACCCUUGGAAAUUACAUCCAAAAAACUGUUAAAAGAAUGUGAUUUAGUUGUUAAGUCAAGCACUUGAAAAUUUGAAAAUACCAGACUUAUGGCUGCUCAUACAGUCUUAAUAACUAUGCCCCUUCUGAGUAUGCAUUGUCUGGCGAUGGCAGAGGAAAGACAGGAGAAAAUGGACAUGGUUUAAUUAGGCUGCAACUUUAUUCACUUAAAAUAUCCGGAGUAUCCGGCAAGAAGUUGUACAGUGCAGCUGGUCAUCAUUUCCUUAAUAAUUUCCACCUAAUUUUGAGGGCUGCUGUCAGCACUGUCCCUUCCCAACCUGAUCCCAGGCAUCCCAUUGCUGGGCCCCCAC